CCUGAUGGAGGGGGAUAACUACUGGAAACGGUAGCUAAUACCGCAUAACGUCGCAAGACCAAAGAGGGGGACCUUCGGGCCUCUUGCCAUCAGAUGUGCCCAGAUGGGAUUAGCUAGUAGGUGGGGUAACGGCUCACCUAGGCGACGAUCCCUAGCUGGUCUGAGAGGAUGACCAGCCACACUGGAACUGAGACACGGUCCAGACUCCUACGGGAGGCAGCAGUGGGGAAUAUUGCACAAUGGGCGCAAGCCUGAUGCAGCCAUGCCGCGUGUAUGAAGAAGGCCUUCGGGUUGUAAAGUACUUUCAGCGGGGAGGAAGGUGUUGUGGUUAAUAACCACAGCAAUUGACGUUACCCGCAGAAGAAGCACCGGCUAACUCCGUGCCAGCAGCCGCGGUAAU
rnacentral:rRNA from 1 species